GGGCAAAAAUCAGUGUCCAUCGAUAUGCGCAAACAGUUGAACAGGGCUAUAUUAAGUUGCCACAUUUGUAACGUCACCCAUCAGGUAAAAAUUAAUUACUUGAGCGAGCCCAUAGACGUUUACUGCGAAUGGUGCGAUGGGCUCCAAUCAAAUUCAGAUUCAUAACUUACACUCAAGCCAUAAGUACUGAGGAAAAUCAUUGUCACCUGAUUUUUUCCAACUAAACUGAGUAAUGGAAGGUGUUUAUGGCUUUAUAAUAUAAUAAACAAAAAAAAAAAUACUCAAAUGUUACCUUCUAGGAACAUAAGAAUAUGCAAAAAAAUUAAAAAAAAAACAAAAAAAAAUAUGUACAACAUCAUACAACAAUAUAUUGAAUAGAAGCAGUAAAUGAAUAAAUUUAUUUCCAAUAAGGAUACUAUUACACAGACGUUCGUUUUUGGUACUUCAAACGGCUGACUACAACAGACAAUAUUAAAGAGUUUAUAUAUAUAUGGACAACUCUCUACCUAUUAUAGACAACAUUACGAAUACAUGGAAUAAUCUGAUGUCGCCGGUUAUAAACUCUUUUACUUGCAAAAUUUUUCUGUCAUAGUACCAAGGAAGUGAAUCUAUCUAUAAUAUUUCUUCAUUAACUAUGUAUAUAGUUUCAGUGCUUGCUUUAUUUCAAUCGAAUUAUUUUUUACCAUCAUAUCUGACAUUAAGAUUUUUAUAACAUUUUUAAAAACCAUUUUUAAACUACAA